rnacentral:rRNA from 1 species
GACGAACGCUGGCGGCGUGCUUAACACAUGCAAGUCGAACGAAGUGGCGCACGGGUGAGUAAUACGUGGGUAACCUGCCCUCCUUUUUGGGAUAAGCCUUGGAAACGGGGUCUAAUACCGAAUAAAGGGGGAUGGGCUCGCGGCCUAUCAGCUUGUUGGUGGGGUGAUGGCCUACCAAGGCGGUGACGGGUAGCCGGCCUGAGAGGGUGACCGGGCACAGGGGGAGUGAGAUACGGCCCAGAGUGCCACGGGAGGGAGAAGUGGGGGAUAUGGCACAAUGGGCGAAAGCCUGAUGCAGGGACGCCGCGUGGGGGAUGAAGGCUUUCGGGUUGUAAACCUGGUGGGCUAGCGAACGGGUAGGUGGAGAAGAAGCGCCGGCUAACUACGUGCCAGCAGCCGCGGUAAUUC